rnacentral:tRNA from 1 species
UAGAAAAGGAAUAAUCAAUUUCUAAUUGCAAGUUAGAUUUUAUUUUUUUUAAAUACUUUUCUU